CUUCAAACUGCUUUGAUGUUGCAUGUAUUGCUGUUCCACUUGUUCUUUAGUACACAGAUUUCAACAGCCAUGGAAGAAUGAUGCAUUUAAGCACACAAACAGGACAAAGAAAACUUCCAGUUUGGAGACAUUUUAUUUUACAAACCGAAAACACGAUGAGAAGAUUGUGUACCUGUAGUUUGUUGCACGAGGCUCCACUUUUCGUCCUCGGUGCGUGGUGCCGGACGACGAGGCAUUUAGUCACACUGGAUGACGCUCUGUGUGUGCAAAUUAAAAAAAAAAAAAAAAAGUGUGAGUUUUGCACAUGUGGAAAUUUGAGUUUAUUUUUCUCUCAUCUCAUCUCAUCUCAUUUCGUCGUCAGAUUUGUCUGAGGGCUUCACAAUCUGACAUCCUCUCAGGAAGAGCAGCAGAUGAGGGAUCAGUCUCAUCAUAGCAGAAGUGCAAUAUGGAGAAAAAAAAUAAUGAUAUUAAGUUAAGAAAGUGAAUAAAAAGUGAAUAAUACUAAGUUAAUAG